ACGUAGUGGCUACUAUGCCACUCGGUGAAUGGCUCGGCUCGAGUGCCGACGAAGGACGUGCCAAGCUGCGAUAAGCCUGUGGGAGCUGCAUGGAAGCGAAGAACACAGGAUGUCCGAAUGGGAAUCCCCACCGNAAUCAAACGAGAUAUCGUCAGUAACCGCGAGUGAACGCGAUACAGCCCAAACUGAAGGCCUCACGGCCAAUGUGGUGUAUUGGGCCGGCGAUCAACGUUCGAACGAUCUUGCGAAGUCUCCUGGAACGGAGCGCGACACAGGGUGAAAGCCCCGUACCGAGGUCUAUUACGACGUGAGCCGGUUCCGGAGUAGCGGGGGUUGGAAAUCCCUCGUGAAUACGGCAGGCAUCUACUGCCAAGGCUAAAUACUCCUCGAGACCGAUAGCGAACAAGUAGCGCGAGCGAACGCUGAAAAGUACCCUCAGAAGGGAGGCGAAACAGGGCUUGAAAUCAGGUGGCGAUGGAGCGACGGGGCAU
rfam:Halosimplex carlsbadense 2-9-1 contig_27, whole genome shotgun sequence.